UUUUCAUGUGAAAAUAGCGUGGCACCGAAAAAUAAUUAAUUAAAAUAUAACAGUAUUUGUUUAUGUUUAUUUGCAAAGCACGAUUUAGAGUAUUGUUUAAAGCCCCGGAAGCUUGAGAAUUCAGAAACAAAACGUGAUUGGUUGGUUCGGACAGACAGUUGAGUGAGCACAAAGGCAAACAACUAACAAUAAUUAUUACUAAUUCAAAAAAAAAAACUAACAAUAAUUAUUACGACCCCAA
rnacentral:lncRNA from 1 species